rnacentral:rRNA from 1 species
GAUGAACGCUGGCGGCGUGCCUAAUACAUGCAAGUCGAGCGAACAGAUGAGGAGCUUGCUCCUCUGACGUUAGCGGCGGACGGGUGAGUAACACGUGGAUAACCUACCUAUAAGACUGGGAUAACUUCGGGAAACCGGAGCUAAUACCGGAUAAUAUAUUGAACCGCAUGGUUCAAUAGUGAAAGACGGUUUUGCUGUCACUUAUAGAUGGAUCCGCGCCGCAUUAGCUAGUUGGUAAGGUAACGGCUUACCAAGGCAACGAUGCGUAGCCGACCUGAAAGGGUGAUCGGCCACACUGGAACUGAGACAAGGUCCAGACUCCUACGGGAGGCAGCAGUAGGGAAUCUUCCGCAAUGGGCGAAAGCCUGACGGAGCAACGCCGCGUGAGUGAUGAAGGUCUUCGGAUCGUAAAACUCUGUUAUUAGGGAAGAACAAAUGUGUAAGUAACUAUGCACGUCUUGACGGUACCUAAUCAGAAAGCCACGGCUAACUACGUG